GUUUUAUCCUACUUUGUAAGUAGAAAUCCCUUGCCCAUGAAAAAAUGUGGCCAAAUAUUUCUGACUCCUUGAAUUGUAGCUGCACUUCAAGAUCUGGAUACACAACAAGUGAAAGGUAGAAAAAAAUAAUGUGCAGUGCGUAACUUAGGCUAGAUGACUACUAAGAACACUUGAAGUGAAGUGAAGUCGCUCAGUCAUGUCCGACUCUUUGCGACCCCAUGGACAGUAGCCUACCAGGCUCCGUGAUCCAUGGGAUUUUCCAGGCAAGAAUACUGGAGUGGGCUGCCAUUUCCUUCUCCAGGGGAUCUUCCCAACCCAAAGAUGGAACCUCGGUCUCCUGUGUUGCAGACAGAUGCUUUACCGUCUGAGCCACUCUCAAAUCCUAGGUGUGUCCCUGCCCAGUAACUGCUAUCUCUUGCAUACAGUGGGAUUACAUGUGAUAAAUGUGUCCAUUCUGCUAGGAUCGGCUAAUGAGACAAAGACAACUUUCCACAUUAAUGAUUUUUUAUUAGUGUUCUCAGUAUUCCAGAAUCCAAAUACCAUGGAACUUUAAAAUAACCUGAAAACAGAGAGGUUUGAAUAACUCUUGCUCAAAUAAUCAUCAUAACAGCGAGAAACUUGGACACAGGAGACAAACAUCACCAGCUUCAUGAUACCUUCAUCAUGCAGCUAUUACCACCACUCCAUGCAAAUGUGGACAUAAUUGAGGAACUCGCCUCAGGGUGCAGUUGGAAGACUUCUAUUAAGCAAGAAUUGUCACAGGAAGAAUUUUCCAGGCAAGAAUACUGGAGUGGAUUUCCAUUUCCUUCUCCAAGGAAUCUUCCUGACCCAGCGAUCAAACCUGUGUCUCCUGUCUGGCAGACAAAAUUCUUUACCAUUGAGCCACCUGGGAAGCCCUAAAACCAAAGAUGGUCAUUUCUAUUCAUGUUAUUCACUAACAUUUCCCAAGCAACUAGAAGAAAGAGCUUGCAAUAUAGAAGAUACUUUAAAAAUAUCUGUUAAAUGGAUAAAUGAGGUCUCUUUGCAUAUAUUUUCAAGUAAUCAUCAUUAAAUUGAUGUUUUUGCUUUCCAACAAAUCAGAUGGACUUCAGGUCCUUCAAAAACUGUUUCCAACUCCAACCACAUUACUUGUUUCACAA
rnacentral:lncRNA from 1 species